rnacentral:rRNA from 1 species
UUUAAAAUCUGGCGGUCUACGGCCGUCCGAGUUGUAAUCUAGAGAGGUGUUUUCCGUGCCGGACCGUGUACAAGUCCCUUGGAACAGGGCGUCAUAGAGGGUGAGAAUCCCGUCCAUGACACGGACUCCCGGUGCACUGUGAUACGCCUUCGAAGAGUCGAGUUGUUUGGGAAUGCAGCUCAAAAUGGGUGGUAAAUUCCAUCUAAAGCUAAAUACAGGCGAGAGACCGAUAGCGAACAAGUACCGUGAGGGAAAGAUGAAAAGAACUUUGGAAAGAGAGUUAAACAGUACGUGAAAUUGUUGAAAGGGAAACGCUUGAAGUCAGUCGCGUCCGCAGGGACUCAGCCUUGCUUUUGCUUGGUGUACUUCUCUGUGGAUGGGCCAGCAUCGAUUUUAGUCGCCGGAAAAGGGCGGGAGGAAUGUGGCAGCUUGCUGUGUUAUAGCCUCUCGUCGUACACGGUGGCCGGGAUCGAGGAC